rnacentral:rRNA from 1 species
AUACGGAGGGUGCAUGCGUUACUCGGAAUCACUGGGCGUAAAGCGCGCGCAGGCGGUCUUUUAAGUUGGAUGUGAAAGCCUACGGCUCAACCGUAGAACUGCAUCCAAAACUAUUAGACUAGAGUGUGGGAGAGGAAGAUGGAAUUAGUUGUGUAGGGGUAAAAUCCGUAGAGAUAACUAGGAAUACCAAAAGCGAAGGCAAUCUGCUGGAACACUACUGACGCUGAGGCGCGAAAGCGUGGGGAGCAAACAGGAUUAGAAACCCUAGUAGUCC